UCAAAGAUUAAGCCAUGCAUGUCUAAGUAUAAGCAAUUAUACCGCGAAACUGCGAAUGGCUCAUUAAAUCAGUUAUCGUUUAUUUGAUAGUACCUUACUACUUGGAUAACCGUGGUAAUUCUAGAGCUAAUACAUGCUAAAAACCCCGACUCACGAAGGGGUGUAUUUAUUAGAUUAAAAACCAAUGCCCUUCGGGGCUCUUUGGUGAUUCAUAAUAACUUUUCGAAUCGCAUGGCCUUGCGCCGGCGAUGGUUCAUUCAAAUUUCUGCCCUAUCAACUUUCGAUGGCAGGGUCUUGGCCUGCCAUGGUUACAACGGGUAACGGAGGGUUAGGGCUCGACCCCGGAGAGGGAGCCUGAGAAACGGCUACCACAUCCAAGGAAGGCAGCAGGCGCGCAAAUUACCCAAUCCCGAUACGGGGAGGUAGUGACAAUAAAUACUGAUACGGGGCUCUUUUGGGUCUCGUAAUUGGAAUGAGAACAAUUUAAAUCCCUUAACGAGGAACAAUUGGAGGGCAAGAC
rnacentral:rRNA from 1 species